rnacentral:rRNA from 1 species
UGUGUAGGCGGCUUUUCAAGUUUGGUGUGAAAUCUCCCGGCUCAACUGGGAGGGUGCGCCGAAAACUGGAGGGCUAGAGUGCGGGAAGGGAGAGUGGAAUUCCUGGUGUAGCGGUGAAAUGCGUAGAUAUCAGGAGGAACACCGGUGGUGUAGACGGCUCUCUGGACCGCCACUGACGCUGAGACACGAAAGCGUGGGUAGCAAACAGGAUUAGAUACCCUGGUAGUCCACGCCCUAAACGAUGCAUAUUUGGUGUGGGUCAUUCAGUUGAUCCGUGCCGGAGCUAACGCGUUAAAUAUGCCGCUUGGGGAUACAGUCGCAAGGCUGAA